CCAUUUGGUGUUUAGAGAACACAUGCGCAGCAUCUGCGAGGUGUGAGUUUGACGGGUCGUUGAAAGUUGCCUACUGUACCUGCAAUGAUAAAACUGCAUAUUACAAUCAUACAGGGAAAUCAUGCCAUGCUGUUGAUUCUUGCAUAUUCUCUCCUGAAUGCAAGAAGUUCGAAGUGUGUCAGAAUGGAAAAUGCGAAUGCCCGGAAUAUCAUAAACAAACAAAGGAUGGAUGCAAGCCGGAUCUGUGCAGUCUUCACAAAUGCGCUUUCUUCAAAGACGCUAAUUGUAAAGAAACUGAUCUUCUAGACACAGUAGACUGCGUUUGCGGAAAAGGGUUGUUUUACGACGGAUCUCAAUGCUCG